CCGGUUGUGUGACCAACCGUAGCCUAGGGGCAGCGCAUUUCUGGCAACGGAUUUGUGUGAAGCGCCCUGACAAUGUACCCCCGCUUUAGCGGUGCCGUUUUAUCGUGAGGUGAACGGUAGAUACUGCCAGUAGCAAAGGCGGUUAAGGGG
rfam:Hahella chejuensis KCTC 2396, complete genome.